rnacentral:snoRNA from 1 species
CUUCAAUGAAGAGAGGAUGACGAGUCUGACUGGAGGUAUUAUCUUUGCCAGGUGGCCCCUACUCCUUGCUGCGUUCAGUACGAGUAGA